UAUUCGUAAUAUUCCCACAACUAUAUAAAUUAAAUACGAAAACUUAUGUACAAUUGUAAUAUCUGACGAAAACUCAGGUGUCAUCGGCGUUAUGCCAUAGAGAUUGAAUUCAAUCGAAUUGACCUGUUAAGUACCGAAGGCGAUGACAGCUUUACUUUAGCAUUUCUUGUGGUCGAUAAACUCGACUGAUGGAUGCAGUGCACCAGAUCACAUUCAACUCUGUGCGUUUCAUUCACGAAGCAAUAUUUCUAUGCCAACGAAAAAAAACUAUUUCAAUGGAAAAUAAACUUUACUCAUUUGUAACUGUCACUAGAAUGUUACCAAAUUCAAAACUAAUUACUAGAAAAUAAAGUAUAUUUUUAAA